UCAUCGAAAAAUGAACGUAUAACGGACAUAUGCGACAAAUAAAAAACCAGUGCAGUGAAGAAGCAACGGAUUCUUAUUGUUCUCCUUGGCUUUUCUCGACUUGUAUCGGAGCCAGUUGUUCUUCGAAACUAAUUGACCAUCGGUUAACUUACCUCGUUAGCCAACGUCCCAAUACUUGCAAAACGGGCGUGCGGUUGAAUCAUAAAAGCGACGUGCCCAUCUGUUGCAUCGAAAAGGAAUAAAGAAGGCGUGAAGAGACACGAGCCAUCUUGUCACCGAUUACGAAAGGAGGAAAUUAUUACGCGUCCCCAUCGCGUUGUAAAAUGUCAUCGAGAAUCGUCGAAAAACCCAUUUCAAACUCAUUCUCUUUCGAUUCUUUGGGGUUUAUAAAAA